GUAUGUGAUAAUAAUAUUAAUACCAUCUUAUUAACUGUAAAAAUAAUUCUCCGUUACUUUAUUCUUGAGCACAUCUAGUAAACAAAAAUCUUCCUGAUGUUACACCUCCCUACGCAGGCCAAGUGUGGAAAGAAACAAAAGCCUUACUUUUGGGUUUGCAUUGAAGACCCAAAUUUUCAUCUUGGAUCAUCAGCUUCCCGGGAGUAGUAUACUUGGCCAUUAUCUUGUUCAAUUCAAUGCAGAAAUAAGAGGCUUGGUUACUGGGUUCUGCAGCAAACACAUGAGACAACAUGAAUUGAAAAGAUAAAUGGGCUACAAGAAUCUCGUGGCGCGACUCAAAACUUACAAUCUGAACACAAAGUAAAAGAUAGGAGAAUUGGAGACAUCUGCAGCAAGUAUAACACGCCUCAGUCUAAAACAGAUUCUUAACUCUCAACGAACCCAUAUUUUCCGAUUAAAAAAAGGGAGAAAUUGAAGCAGAAUCGAAUGAUACCUGAGAGAACAAAGGCUGUCAAGAAGAUGAACGAACCACGAUGCCGAAAUUCUUCACAGUUUAGUUUGAAUUUUGCUUGCCCGCGAGAGGACGAUGCUAUCGUG